UACAGAGGGUGCAAGCGUUGUUCGGAAUUAUUGGGCGUAAAGGGAGUGUAGGCUGUUAGGUAAGUCUUCUGUGAAAUCUACGGGCUUAGCUUGUAAAGUGCAGAGGAAACUGCUUAGCUUGAGUGUCGGAGAGGAUAGGGGAAUACCCGGUGUAGAGGUGAAAUUCGUAGAGAUCGGGUGGAACACCAGUGGCGAAGGCGCCUAUCUGGCUGACAACUGACGCUGAGACUCGAAAGCAUGGGGAGCAAACAGG
rnacentral:rRNA from 1 species